CGGCGAGCGGCGAACGGGUGAGUAAUGCAUCGGAACGUAUCCUGUAAUGGGGGAUAACGUAGCGAAAGUUACGCUAUACCGCAUACGCUCGAGAGAGGAAAGUGGGGGAUCGCAAGACCUCACGUUAUAGGAGCGGCCGAUGUCCGAUUAGCUAGUUGGUGGGGUAAAAGGCCUACCAAGGCGACGAUCGGUAGCUGGUCUGAGAGGAUGAUCAGCCACACUGGGACUGAGACACGGCCCAGACUCCUACGGGAGGCAGCAGUGGGGAAUUUUGGACAAUGGGCGAAAGCCUGAUCCAGCCAUGCCGCGUGCGGGAAGAAGGCCUUCGGGUUGUAAACCGCUUUAGUCCGGGAAAAAGGGGUGCGAGGAUAAUACCCUCGUGCUUUGAUGGUACUGGAAGAAUAAGCACCGGCUAACUACGUG
rnacentral:rRNA from 1 species